GAAACUUGAAGGUCAAAGUGCCCUUGACCUUUGACCUGUGAAAUGGGACCAGUUCAUCCUCGAUACAAGUUGGCCAUUUGCGCCCCAUUUGAAGAAAUUCUCUGCAGACGGUCUGCAGGUUACGUUCCCCUGAGCUCCUGGAGCUUGUGAGCAGGACCACAUCUGACCCCCAUCAGUGGAGAACCACCCAGGUGGAGCCACCGCCGACACACGGAAUAGCCAUUCCAGCAGCGGAGGUGGGGUCCAAAACGCCGUGGAUCAGGGGCCUAUAAAUCAGGCCAAACUGCCACUGACACACACACAGGAAGGAGGCCCGCCACACCGCAGGCGGAAGCAGAGUACGGGGAGGCGAGAGACCACAGCCUGGCCAGAACCAGUAUGAUGCCAGCAGCCGGCACAGCAGACACUUAGAAAAACACACGCCAGCUACCUCCCCAGAGACAGGGACGGGCCGAAGACGGACAUUAUUCCUCCUGGGAAUGAAGCUGGGACUUGUGAUGUCUCAAGGGAAUGUAAUGGAAAUUGGUUGAUCAGGAAGACACCAAGACAUGUCUUACACUUACUACUAAAGAAAAGUAAAGGAAAAGAGGGACCUGGAAUCACUUAUCCAAGAACUAAGCUUUAAAGUUGAACAGUUAAAAAAAAUAAUCAAAAGGCAACAUUUUUCAACCAAACAAUUAUGUCACUUCUUGCGAUGUUGGUGAGUGUUCCAACCGGCAGGGACAUAAAUCAUGGGCUGCUGACAUUUACGGCGUGUGUUUACAAACCCGUUUUCCAGGAAGUGGAACACUACAGACGAGAAGCGGUUUGAUUCUCUCUUUAUCAAACCAGCCCUCGCCACAUCGAAAUGUCUCGAUGGAAACAUCGUGGACGUGUGCGUUGGUGCCGGAGGCUGCAGCGCAGGGAGAUCCCUGAUGAAACUGGUCAUAAAGGGGACACCCGCCCCCACAGCCGGCUUUGACUCAUUGGACCAUCGCGGAGGUGUUCCCCAAACUUCUACAGUAAUGACACAAUUGUUGCGGCGCACAGCUGAACACAUUUUUCCAUCAUCGCUUUCAUAAAACCGAUUGAUCUAAUGUGGAAACCUUAUUUAACAUGUGGUUCAACCUUUUCUUGCUUAUUUCACCAUUGUGUGGCACAGUUCUGAGUAUCUAAAAAGAAACCAAAAACCAAGCACAGAAAUAAAACUAAACCUGCUCAUACAUCUGGUGAAUUUACAACGAAUUAGGAAAUAUCAGUAACCGUGUUACAGUCACACGCACCUUGUUAUGACUGUUAUUUUGGUUAUUAUGUGUCCCUCACAUGUCACACCUGAAAGACAUACCAACAUGUUGACCAGUUUAGUGCAGAGACAUUAGCCUGCAAGCAUUGAUUCCAACAAUCAGGUCCUUUUAGUGAUAUCUGUGAUACAACGUGUAGAUUCCACAGAAAGACUGAUGAAUUAGGAAGAAAAAGUUUUCCUUUUACUCAAAUGAAAAACCUGAGGCUAAUAAAUAUUAAGAGACUUGAUUA